rnacentral:rRNA from 1 species
GCGCACCAGGCGAGAAUUUUCUCAAUGGGGCAACCCUGAAGGAGCGACGCCGCGUGGAGGACUGAAGGCUUUCGGGUUGUAAACUCCUGUCAUUUGAGAACAAGUGUGAGCAAAUAACUACCUGCUCAUUUGAUAGUAUCAGAAGAGGAAGGGACGGCUAACUCUGUGCCAGCAGCCGCGGUAAUACAGAGGUCCCAAGCGUUGUUCGGGUUCACUUGGGCGUAAAGGGUGCGUAGGUGGCGCC